rnacentral:rRNA from 1 species
GACGGGGGGGGCAAGUGUUCUUCGGAAUGACUGGGCGUAAAGGGCACGUAGGCGGUGAAUCGGGUUGAAAGUGAAAGUCGCCAAAAAGUGGCGGAAUGCUCUCGAAACCAAUUCACUUGAGUGAGACAGAGGAGAGUGGAAUUUCGUGUGUAGGGGUGAAAUCCGUAAAUAUACGAAGGAACGCCAAAAGCGAAGGACAGCUCGUCUGGGUCCCUACCGACGCUGAGGUGCGAAAGCGUGGGGAGCAAACAGG